AAAAAAAAAAAAAAAAAACAACACGCAAGGCUUUUAUAGUCAGAUGUGAUUAUUUCAUUAAUUGAAGCUUUUGCAGCUACUAAAUCAAUAAUUUCAACAAAAUCAAAUAGGAUCAUGAUGCAUCCACUUCUCUUUUUCAUUUAAUCAGUGAGAUUUUUAUAUGCAUGUCAGUUAAUAGAUAUAUUAUCUAUGCGAAACCUCUUACUUUAAGCAUCAUAUGUAACAGG
rnacentral:misc_RNA from 1 species